rnacentral:tRNA from 2 species
GAAGUUUUAGUUAAUUUUAUAACACCGGAUUGUCAGAUCGGAAUAGUAAGUUAAACUCUUACAAUCUUCG